CAUAACCCCGGGAAACUGGGUAUAAUACCCGAUAGGUCUCGAUUGCUGGAAUGCAUCGAGAUUUAAAGCUCCGGCGCCUAAGGAUGGGUCUGCGGCCUAUCAGGUAGUAGUGGGUGUAGCGUACCUACUAGCCUACGACGGGUACGGGUUGUGAGAGCAAGAGCCCGGAUGGAUUCUGAGACACGAAUCCAGGCCCUACGGGGUGCAGCAGGCGCGAAAACUUUACAAUGCUGGCAACAGCGAUAAGGGAACCUCGAGUGCCAGGUUACAAAUCUGGCUGUCGAGAUGCCUAAAAAGCAUUUCAUAGCAAGGGCCGGGCAAGACCGGUGCCAGCCGCCGCGGUAACACCGGCGGCUCGAGUGGUAACCGUUAUUAUUGGGUCUAAAGGGUCUGUAGCCGGCCGGAUAAGUCUCUUGAGAAAUCUGGCAGCUUAACUGUCAGGCUUUCAGGAGAUACUGUCUGGCUCGAGGCCGGGAGAGGUGAGAGGUACUUCAGGGGUAGGGGUGAAAUCUUGUAAUCCUUGAAGGACCACCAGUGGCGAAGGCGUCUCACCAGAACGGACCUGACGGCAAGGGACGAAAGCUAGGGGCACGAACCGGAUUAGAUACCCGGGUAGUCCUAGCCGUAAACGAUACUCGCUAGGUGUCGGCCACGGUGCGACCGUUGUCGAUGCCGUAGGGAAGCCGUGAAGCGAGCCACCUGGGAAGUACGGCCGCAAGGCUGAACUUAAAGGAAUUGGCGGGGGAGCACCCACAACGGGUGGGAGCUUGCGGUUUAAUUGGAUUCAACGCCGGAAAUCUUACCGGGACCGACAGCAAUAUGAAGGCCAGGCUGAAGACUUUGCCGGAUUAGCUGAGAGGUGGUGCAU
rnacentral:rRNA from 1 species